rnacentral:snRNA from 1 species
UGCCUUACCUGGCAGGGGAGAUACCGACGAAGGUCACUAAGGUGGUUUUCCCAGGAAGCAGCCUAUUCGUUGUACUGUGGAUGUGCUGACCCCUGUGAUUUCCCCAAAUGUGGGAAACUCGACUGCAUAAGUUGUGGUAGUGGGGUACUGUGUUCACGCUCUCCCCUG